rnacentral:snRNA from 1 species
GGGUGUGCGGGUUGAUACCACUUGUCGCGCGCCAUUUGAAUUGCCCAGGGGUUGAUUCCGCUGAUCCGGCCGGGCUAUGCCGAGUUGUCCCCCUUCCCUCUCUCAGAGGCUCCAUGUGCAUCCUCAACCGAAAGCGUCAAGCUCGGGAUAAAGAGGACCACCUCUCCCGAUAGAAGGACGACCAUCCUUCGCUCAAGGGUAUACCUAGUAGGCUGCGGCUCCCCUGCUAGAACCUCUCAACAAGUCUCAAAUGUCUGAGUAGGGCCGUGCUGGUGAUAAGCUGACUUU